GCACUUGUUUUAUUUACAUAUAUUGACAUUGGACUGAUACAAGGAAAUUUAGCAUACCCUGUGCGAGGAUGACAUGCAAAUACAUAAAACAUUCCAUGUUAUU
rnacentral:snRNA from 1 species